AAUUUUGGACAAUGGGGGAAACCCUGAUCCAGCCAUCCCGCGUGUAUGAAUAAGGCCAUCGGGUUNUAAAGUACUUUUGGCAGAGANGAAAAGGUAUCUCCUAAUACGAGAUACUGCUGACGGUAUCCGCAGAAUAAGCACCGGCUAACUACGUGACAGAAGCCGCGGUAAUACGUAGGGUGCAAGCGUGAAUCGGAAUAACUGGGCGUAAAGCGUGUGUAGGCGGUUCGAAAAGAAAGAUGGGACAUCCCAGGGCUCAACCUUGGAACUGCAUUUUUAACUGCCGAGCUAGAGUAUGUCAGAGGGGGGUAGAAUUCCACGUGUAGCAGUGAAAUGCGUAGAUAUGUGGAGGAAUACCGAUGGCGAAGGCAGCCCCCUGGGAUAAUACUGACGCUCAGACACGAAAGCGUGGGGAGCAAACAGG
rnacentral:rRNA from 1 species